AAUUCAUUGACCCUAGCAAGACUACCAAAAGCGAAAGCAGUUGGCUAGGCUAUACUCUUUGUGAUUUACGCACGCACACACACACAUAUACGUAUAUAUUAUAUACAUACACACACGCAUUUCGUAUAUUUUUUUACGUAUACGCAUAUAUUAUUACAUACACACGCAUCUCUCAAUAAUAUAUGCAUCUCACAUAUGCGCGUAUCUAACACUUUACAAUGAAGAACGAAGGUUGGGGGAUCAAAGAGGAUCAGAUACCCUCGUCGUCCCAUUAAUUACAUCAAACGAUGGGCUCUCAAUUGCAUUUCUCUAUAGAUAUGCAAAUCCUCCUCAGCCUACAAAAAUAUUACUUAGCUUGAGCUUGUGAUUUCACUAUCACGCUCGCUAUAUUAUAUAUUUUCACGUAUGGUCUCGACGGACGUUUCAUAUUCUUAUACAAUAUUUUGCGUGUAAGCUUUAUGUCAUUGCUUGAAACAUAGUAAUACAUAGCGUGCACUUGAUUUUCGGAGCUUUGCGCUCAAAUUAUUCUGGUGAGAUGUAAGCAUCAUGUUAUUAUGCAUCGCUAUUACAUAUAUUCAUUUCGGUGAGUAUUUUGUGCAUACGCUGUAUUGUAUCUUAACAAUUUUUCGAUGUGAAGCACGCAUUAGGCACGCGCUUACUGCAGAAAUGUCUGAGACACUCUCCUCCGGGGGUAGUAUGCACGCAAGUGUGAAACUUGAAGGAAUUGACGGAAGGGCACCACAAGAACGCGUGGAGCAUGUGGCUUAAUUU
rnacentral:rRNA from 1 species